UUGAUGUAGAUGAGAGCACUGCUUUCUCAUGGCCUGUGUGUGACCGGUGUGGCAAUGAGAGAUUGGAACAGAAGCCAGAAGAUGGAGGCUCCUUCUCCUGUGGGGACUGUUCCCAACUAGUCAUGUCACCUCUUCAAAAGAGGCAACUGCACGUCUUUCUGCAUUGUCCCAUGAGGCCCAAGAGUACCGUGAAGGUCAAGCUGUUGGAGAGAAGUAUUUCCUCACUGCUGAUGUCUGCUACCUCCAAGGAUGGGG